rnacentral:rRNA from 1 species
GUUUUUCGCUUGAGGAUGAGCCCAUGUGGGAUUAGCUAGUUGGUGAGGUAAUGGCUCACCAAGGCAACGAUCUCUAGCUGGUCUGAGAGGAUGAUCAGCCACACUGGAACUGAGACACGGUCCAGACUCCUACGGGAGGCAGCAGUAGGGAAUAUUGCGCAAUGGAGGAAACUCUGACGCAGCGACGCCGCGUGAGUGAUGAAGGCCUUCGGGUCGUAAAGCUCUGUCCCAGGGGAAUAACACAAUG